rnacentral:rRNA from 1 species
CUCCUACGGGAGGCAGCAGUGGGAAUUUUGCGCAAUGGGGGAAACCCUGACGCAGCAACGCCGCGUGGAGGAUGAAAUCCCUUGGGAUGUAAACUCCUUUCGAUAGGGAAGAUAAUGACGGUACCUAUACGAAGAAGCCCCGGCUAACUUCGUGCCAGCAGCCGCGGUAAUAC